rnacentral:sRNA from 1 species
AUGCUCAACCGCAAGACCAGCCACUUUUUGGGAAUGAGGGUGCAGUCGGAGCUUGAACAUCUCUCCGAGCUGCGGCGGGAAGCGGGGAAGGAUCGCAGCUCAGUGCAUGGGUCGGCCGCGCGGACGCGUGCGAGUGUGCGGACUCAGUGGACGACGGCGGCGGCGGCGACGAAAGCGGAUGAAGGCCCUGGAGCCAACUUGUUUCCGCCGCCGCUGCCCCGGCCCCGGAUCUGCAUGUGGAAGUACCUGGACGUCCAUUCCAUGCACCAGCUGGAGAAGACCACCAAUGCUGAGGAGAUGAGGGAGUAGGGACUGAGGGGGGCGUGGGAAGAGCUCUUGGCAAAGGCUGAGGGGUCAGGUUGGGAAAACAUGAGGAAUGGCUGACUCCAAAGCAUGUGGUGGGUGUAGGGUGAUGAAAGGAGGCCCAGUUGUCACUCACUCCUCUCUCCCUCCGAAGGGUGCUGGCUGAGCUGCUGGAGCUAGGGUGUCCUGAGCAGAGCCUGCGGGACGCCAUCACCCUGGACCUCUUCUGCCACGCGCUCAUUUUCUGCCGCCAGCAGGGCUUCUCACUGGAGCAGACGUCAGCAGCUUGUGCCCUGCUCCAGGAUCUUCACAAGGCUUGUAUUGCAACCCCCUUGGGCAACGUGGAGGAGUGCUACCGCUACUUCACCAGUGUCCUUUUUUGCCAUGGAGUCAGGCGGCCUCCUUUCAGCAUCGACCUCUUCAAAGAGCAACAGCUGCUGGCCUUGGAAGACUACGUGGUCAACACUUACUUCCGCCACUUCAAGCUCUAUAAAUACGUCUUCACACCCCAGGUGCGGCUGGAUCUGUCUUUGACUUACAUGGGGCUACAGCCACCCAAACUGUGGCCAGAGAGUGAGACGGGUAAGGGAGAGUGCCAGGGCAGGGCUGGGCUGGGCCAGGCGUGGGGCCACAGUCUCUUCCUGCUUCUGGUUUGCAGAGAAAGAAGAAAGCAAGGAGAUGGAGGAGCAGGCAGUUACCCCGCAGAAAGAGGAACUAGAGACAGUGGCCCCGCCAGAGCCAGAGCCAAGCCACGUCCAUGUCCUCCGAGCCUACAUCAAGACCCAAGUGAACAAAGAGCUGGAGCAGCUCCAGGGGCUGGUGGAGGAGCGGCUCAAGGCCAGCGAGGAAAGGCUCAGCAGCAAGUUGACUGCACUAGAGCAGCCCUUCCAGCUACCUCCGGGUAAAGGCAAGAGCAAGACCAAGUGACCCCCAACA